rnacentral:rRNA from 1 species
GGGGAAUAUUGCACAAUGGGCGCAAGCCUGAUGCAGCAACGCCGCGUGAAGGAAGAAGGCCUUUGGGUCGUAAACUUCUGUCCUAGGGGAAGAUAAUGACGGUACCCUUGGAGGAAGCCCCGGCUAACUACGUGCCAGCAGCCGCGGUAAUACGUAGGGGGCAAGCGUUAUCCGGAAUUAUUGGGCGUAAAGAGUGCGUAGGCGGUUUCUUAAGCGUGGGGUGAAAGGCUAUGGCUUAACCAUAGUUAGCCCCGCGAACUGGGAGACUUGAGUGCAGGAGAGGAAAGCGGAAUUCCUAGUGUAGCGGUGAAAUGCGUAGAUAUUAGGAGGAACACCAGUGGCGAAGGCGGCUUUCUGGACUGUAACUGACGCUGAGGCACGAAAGCGUGGGGAGCAAACAGGAUUAGAUACCCUGGUAGU